UGUUCGUGUCUGUUGUUAACGUGCAAACGAAAAAAGCGAUCGUCUAGAUUGUGAAUGAACUGAAUGAUACCUCUCCAUCUUGAAGGAGUAUCUACUGAUCCACGGAAAAAGAAAAGGUGCUGUUAGAAGCCGGAAAGAAGAAAAUGCUGUGAAAGUCGCUCUUUGCAGAAUGGCUGCACCCUUGGAGGAUUGCUGUCUGAAAUAACAAACUUUCAGCGACUGGUUGAGCCAACAAGUGUUCCAGACACUCAUAGAAAUGCCAAUCCAUCCAAAGUUUACAGGUGAUGGACAUGGAGCAGAGAACCUCAGACCAGACACGGCUUGCAAACGGAUGAGGACAACCUGCGAGGAUCAACGUGCACAUCAAAUUCAGAGUGUACUGUCAGGGAGAUGAAGUGUGUUUGUCUGCAUUUCCAUACGAGCCGAGACUGCAAUCGAGUUAUACAUACACGCAGGGAAGAUAUCUGUUCUGUCAUGUUUAGGAGUGUGUGGAGUAGACCAUCUCCUGUGGUGGAGUUGCUUUCACUUGUCAGCAUGCUUGUUUAAGAACUCACCUGGCUAAAGGCUCAGAUCAUCUCCAGAUUGAAGAUUCUUUUGGGUCGAUUCUUUCUGCAUGCACAUACCCAGCAUGCUAGAGAAGGGAAAUGAGGUGGAAGGAGAUUAGCCCACCCAUUGAUCAGUGCUGCUCAGCUCUUCAUCCUGAAUUUUACUUGUAUGCUGCCUGUACAAAAGGUCGUUUUGCAUAUCAUGAUGGCAAGAUUCAGUGGCUGUGCACAUGGUAUUCUGUUCAGGUGAUCGGGGAUGUCAAUUAAAUGUUGCAAGUGAUUCCUCUUAAAGAGACAGCCACAACAAUGUUUGAAUGAGUAAGCUGAAUUCAUUUUAAGUGUUAAAAGACCCUGUCCACAUUCGAAAUCGCAUACUCUCUGAGUGAGUGCUAUUUUAAAUAAGUGAUUACUUAGUGACUGUCAAAAAACUGUCUCCUAUGUAGUAUGAAUGUUUGUGGUAUGAAUUAGGGGUGUGCGUGUGUCCUUAUUCGGAAAGGUACGGAAAAUGGCUUCAAAACAAAUAAAGGAUAACAAAUAAUUUUGCUGAAUAAUAUUUGGCUGAGGCUGGCACAUUCACUCCUCGUGUUCGCUGGAUAACAGGUGAGCCAGAGGAUCAGUGCGACAUUAUACAUAAACUUUAUGAAUUAAA